AGUGAACGCUGGCGGUAUGCCUAACACAUGCAAGUCGAACGGACGCACAGUAAGCUCUUGCUCUUACGGGUGGCGGGUGGCGGACGGGUGAGGCAUACAUCGCCUUCUUCUUUUUCGUGGGGGAUAACGUAGGGAAACUUCCGCUAAUACCGCAUAUUUUCUACGGGUGAAAGCAGGGGAUCUUCACAGCCUUCGCGAUUGUUUGAGCUGAUGUGGGAUUAGCUAGUUGGCGGGGUAAAGGCCCACCAAGGCGAGGAUACGUAGCAUGUCUGAGAGGAUGGUCGGCCACACUGGAACGGAGACACGGUCCAGACUCCUACGGGAGGCAGCAGUGGGGAAUAUUGGACAAUGGGCGCAAGCCUGAUCCAGCCAUGCCGCGUGGGUGAAGAAGGCCUUCGGGUUGUAAAGCCCUGUUGUUGGGAAAGAAAAGCAGCAGGAUAAUACGCCGCUGUUCUGACGGUACCCAAAGAAUAAGCACCGGCUAACUACGUG
rnacentral:rRNA from 1 species